AUCCCCUACGGGGGGCAGCAGUGAGGAAUAUUGGUCAAUGGUCGGGAGACUGAACCAGCCAAGCCGCGUGAGGGAGGAAGGUACAGAGUAUCGUAAACCUCUUUUGUCAGGGAACAAAGACUGGGACGCGUCCCCGGAUGAGUGUACCUGAAGAAAAAGCAUCGGCUAACUCCGUGCCAGCAGCCGCGGUAAUACGGAGGAUGCGAGCGUUAUCCGGAUUUAUUGGGUUUAAAGGGAGCGUAGGUGGAUUGUUAAGUCAGUUGUGAAAGUUUGCGGCUCAACCGUAAAAUUGCAGUUGAAACUGG
rnacentral:rRNA from 1 species